GCAGUUGUACUUCGCGUAUAAAUCUGAAAUGUAAAAGGAUCAAAAUAUAAGCGAUGAUAAUCGAGAAAUGUGAUGUAUCGUUAACGCCAACGUGAAACUUAAAAUCCUAGAAAUUUCUCUAGUCGAUAUCCAAUCGGUACCUCGGCAAUUUUUUUCAAGUUGACGUCAGUAAUAUGAACAAAUAUGUGAAGAUAUUCGCGCUCUAUUCGCAACUUCGAUUUGAAUUGCGAUAAACGAUUAGGACGCAUCCUGUUUUGGAAUAUUAUGGCAAGGAUUUAUAUCAAUAACAGAUUAAAAAAUGCUGCAACAUUCUUUAACAUUACACUUUCUAUUACCAACGAGAUCGUGAUUGUGAUAUCAAGAGUUUCAACAUGUUACUCUUGAGAAAUAUGCAAAAGAUAUGUUUUUACAAUAUAUUAUUACAAAGAUCAUUUGGCACAAAUCAAUCACUCUUUUUCUAUAAGGAGAUUAACAAAGAAUUUCAAAAAUUUAAAUUAAAGCAAGCAAAGAUGCAGGUAUAUGUAAUUUGAAGCAAUUUUAGAAAUUUGAUUUAUAAAAAUUGCAUCUAGAAAAAUUCCAUAUUGAUACACAUCAUUUAUUUCGACAGUGCGACGACGGAAUUCCUGUCUAUUUAAAGAGCGGCAUACGCGAUAAAAUAUUAUUUAACAUUACCUUAGCUUUGCUUUUAUGUAACACGGUUGGAUCGAUCUAUUCAAUCAGAGAGCUUUUCAGAAAAUUUUAAUCUUACAUAUGUACAUAUAUACAUUGUAAUAAUCUCCUUUUUUUAAUGCACAAGUCGCAUAAAAUAA